rnacentral:siRNA from 1 species
AGAUAAUUGUGCUUGUCGGUUGCU